UGCCGGGAUGGCGGAGUGGUCUAACGCGUUAGUCUCGAAAACUAAUGAGCUUCGGCUCGCGCAGGUUCGAAUCCAGCUCCCGGCGA
rnacentral:tRNA from 1 species